AGUAAAAUGAGUAUAUAAAUCAGAGAUACACGUCGUAAUGUAACCAAACAUCAGUAAGUAAAAUAUAUUGGGAUGCUAGAAUAUAUAAAGAAUAAAGAAAUAAUAAUGAGUAAGAUAAAAUAAAAUGUAGAGAAAAGUAACAGACAAUUUAAAGAAUAUAGAAAUAAACAACACUCCCAAUCCGGACCCUCAUUGUAUACACGAGAAUCUGGAUGGAAACACAGAAUAUAUAGAAUAAUAGAUAAGGACAGUAGGAAGUGAUGCAUUAAUAAAAAAAAAGAUAGAAAAAAAUAAUAACUGUUUGAGAAUAAAGACAUGAAACAGGUCCGAGAACACAAUUAUUUCGUAGUGCAUUUCUUUUAGAACAUAAAUGAAAAUAAAAAAAAUCCCACC
rnacentral:lncRNA from 1 species